AUUGAACGCUGGCAGCAGGCCUAACACAUGCAAGUCGAGCGGAUGAAGGGAGCUUGCUCCUGGAUUCAGCGGCGGACGGGUGAGUAAUGCCUAGGAAUCUGCCUGGUAGUGGGGGAUAACGUCCGGAAACGGGCGCUAAUACCGCAUACGUCCUGAGGGAGAAAGUGGGGGAUCUUCGGACCUCACGCUAUCAGAUGAGCCUAGGUCGGAUUAGCGAGUUGGUGGGGUAAAGGCCUACCAAGGCGACGAUCCGUACCUGGUCUGAGAGGAUGAUAAGUCGAGCUGGAACUGAGACACGGUGCAGACUCCUACGGGGGGCGGCAGUGGGGAAUAUUGGACAAUGGGCGAAAGCCUGAUCCAGCCAUGCCGCGUGUGUGAAGAAGGUCUUCGGAUUGUAAAGCACUUUAAGUUGGGAGGAAGGGCAGUAAGUUAAUACCUUGCUGUUUUGACGUUACCAACAGAAUAAGCACCGGCUAACUGCGUGCCAGCCGCCGCCGUAA
rnacentral:rRNA from 1 species